CAUUAUCGAGUUUUGAACGGGUUGUAGCUGGCCUUCCGAGGCAUGUGCACGCCCUGCUCAUCCACUCUACACCCGUGCACUUACUGUGGGUUUCAGAAGCUUCGAAAGCGAGAAAAGGGGCCUUCACGGGCUUUUUUCUUGCCUAGUUGUUACUGGGCCUACGUUUCACUACAAACACUUAUAAAGUAUCAAAAUGGGUAUUGCGAUGUAACGCAUCUAUAUACAACUUUCAACAACGGAUCUCUUGGCUCUCGCAUCCAUGAAAAACGCAGCGAAAUGCGAUAAGUAAUGGGAAUUGCAAAAUUCAGUGAAUCAUCCAAUCUUUGAACGCACCCUGCGCUCCUUGGUAUUCCGAGGAACAUGCCUGUUUGAAUGGCACGAAAUUCUCAACCUAACGGGUUCUUAACGGGACUUGCUUUAGGCUUGGACUUGGAGGUUCUUGUCGGCUUG
rnacentral:rRNA from 1 species